GAUGAACGCUGGCGGCGUGCCUAAUACAUGCAAGUCGAGCGAAUGGAUUAAGAGCUUGCUCUUAUGAAGUUAGCGGCGGACGGGUGAGUAACACGUGGGUAACCUGCCCAUAAGACUGGGAUAACUCCGGGAAACCGGGGCGAAUACCGGAUAACAUUUUGAACCGCAUGGUUCGAAAUUGAAAGGCGGCUUCGGCUGGCACUUAUGGAUGGACCCGCUUCGCAUUAGCUAGUUGGUGAGGUAACGGCUCACCAAGGCAACGAUGCGUAGCCGACCUGAGAGGGUGAUCGGCCACACUGGGACUGAGACACGGCCCAGACUCCUACGGGAGGCAGCAGUGGGGAAUCUUCCGCAAUGGACGAAAGUCUGACGGAGCAACGCCGCGUGAGUGAUGAAGGCUUUCGGGUCGUAAAACUCUGUUGUUAGGGAAGAACAAGUGCUAGUUGAAUAAGCUGACACCUUGACGGUACCUAACCAGAAAGCCACGGCUAACUACGUGCCAGCCGCCGCCGUAA
rnacentral:rRNA from 1 species